AUGGAAGCCCCAGGUCAGCUUCUCUUCCUCCUGCUUCUCUGGCUCCCAGAUACCACCGGAGAAAUUGUAAUGACGCAGUCUCCAGCCACCUGGGCUUUGUCACCAGGGGAAAGAGCCACCCUCUCCUGCAGGGCCAGUCAGAGUGUUAGCAGCAGGUUAGCCUGGUACCAGCAGAAACCUGGGCAGGCUCCCAGGCUCCUCAUCUAUGGUGCAUCCAGCAGGGCCACUGGCAUCCCAGACAGAUUCAGUGGCAGUGGGUCUGGAACAGAGUUCACUCUCACCAUCAGCAGCCUGGAGCCUGAAGAUGUUGCAGUUUAUUUCUGUCAGCAGGAUUAUAGCUGGCCUCCCACAGUGAUUCAACAUGAAACAAAAACCUCAACAAGACCAGUAUCAAAUGAGGCCCAUAUAUUCAUGCCUAAACCUUUGUCUUUGUCCAACCUGAGCCCACGUUUGGGCCAUCCACUGGCAUCCGAGUACACUUGUGAGAUGAUCACUGUGCAGACAGCAUUGCUGGGGCAACUCACAGACAGCUCCAUGCUGAGUCUCUCCCCUCAAACUCCCAGCAUCACUAACCCUGAAGGAGUGUCCUCCUGUCCUCCACAGCACCCAGAGCCUGCCCUGCCAUGA